UACGUAGGGUGCGAAGCGUUAAUCGGAAUUACUGGGCGUAAAGCGUGCGCAGGCGGUUAUGUAAGACAGGUGUGAAAUCCCCGGGCUUAACCUGGGAACUGCAUUUGGUGACUGCAUAGCUAGAGUACGGUAGAGGGGGAUGGAAUCCGCGUGUAGCAGUGAAAUGCGUAGAUAUGCGGAGGAACACCGAUGCGAAGGCAAUCCC
rnacentral:rRNA from 1 species